rnacentral:rRNA from 1 species
ACAGGUGACUAUAGCAUCAGGGUUCCACCUCUUCCCAUUCCGAACAGAGAAGUUAAGCCUGAUCACGCCGAUGGUACUGCGUAACAGUGGGAGAGUAGGUAGUCGCCGUU